rnacentral:rRNA from 1 species
AUUCACCCGUGUCUUUUGCGUACUUCUUGUUUCCUUGGUGGGUUCGCCCACCAUAGGACAAACCAUAAACCUUUUGUAAUUGCAAUCAGCGUCAGUAAAAAAAAUUAAUAAUUACAACUUUUAACACCGGAUCCCUGGGUUCUGGCAUCAAUGAAAAACGCACCGAAAGGCGAUAAGUAGGGUGAAUUGCAAAAUUCAGGGAAUCAUCGAAUCUUUGAACGCCCAUUGCCCCCUUGGGUAUCCCAAAGGGCAGGCCGGUCCGACCGUCAUUUGUCCCCUCAAGCUUUGCUGGGGGUUGGGCGCCUUGCCCCCAGUCCCCUGGAAACUCGCCUUAAGGUAAUUGGCAGCCGGCCUACGGGUUUCGGAGCGCAGCACAAGUCGCGCUCUCUUCCAGCCAAGGUCAGCAUCCACAAAGCCUUUUUUCAACUUUUGACCUCGAAUCAGGUAGGGAUACCCGCUAAACUUAAGCAUAUCUAA